UACGUAGGGUGCGAGCGUUAAUCGGAAUUACUGGGCGUAAAGGGUGCGUAGGCGGCCCUGUAAGUCCGUUGUGAAAGUCAAAGGCUCAACCUUUGAAUGCCGAUGGAUACUGCAGGGCUAGAGUCCGGAAGAGGCGAGUGGAAUUCCUGGUGUAGCGGUGGAAUGCGCAGAUAUCAGGAGGAACACCAAUAGCGAAGGCAGCUCGCUGGGACGGUACUGACGCUAAGGUGCGAAAGCGUGGGGAGCGAACAGG
rnacentral:rRNA from 1 species